GACGAACGCUGGCGGCUUUCUUAACACAUGCAAGUCGAACGGAAAGGCUCCAGCUUGCUGGAGUGCUCGAGUGGCGAACGGGUGAGUAACACGUGGGCAAUCUGCCCUGCACUCUGGGAUAAGCCUGGGAAACUGGGUCUAAUACCGGAUAGGACCUUUCUCCUCAUGGGGUUUGGUGGAAAGUUUUUCGGUGCAGGAUGAGCCCGCGGCCUAUCAGCUUGUUGGUGGGGUAAUGGCCUACCAAGGCGACGACGGGUAGCCGGCCUGAGAGGGUGAUCGGGCACAUUGGGACUGAGAUACGGCCCAGACUCCUACGGGAGGCAGCAGUGGGGAAUAUUGCAAAAUGGGCGAAAGCCUGAUGCAGCGACGCCGCGUGAGGGAUGACGGCCUUCGGGUUGUAAACCUCUUUCAGUAGGGACGAAGCGCAAGUGACGGUACCUGCAGAAGAAGCAACGGCUAAAUACGUG
rnacentral:rRNA from 1 species